CCCGGCGCGGCCAGCGGGAAACCCUGCGUCCCUCAUGCGCAGCAAACCGGUGCUGGUGGAGGCGGCUCCACAGCUGCGCCUUCCCCGCCAUGAUCUGGCGAGGCCCCUUCAUGGCCGGUGCCGCUCUCCGCCGGCCCCGGCGCUGAGCGGCUGCGGCGGGAGGAACCGAGCGAGCCUGGCAGUGGACAAAAGAUGAAGUGACCAGGAUGGUGUGAGUUCAGAAAUGCAGGGUGAUCCUUCAGGAGGGGGCUGCCCAAGAAACUUCAGCCACCUUGCUGACUAGGCAGACCAGAG